AUGUCUAAACGAAGUCAACCCAAUUGGUCUCCACCGGCCAGAACCGAGAAACGUCCAGUUUUAAAGCUGUUCAACAGCUUAAGUCGACAAAAGGAGGAAUUUAUACCAGCUAAUGGCAACAGAGUGAACUGGUAUAGUUGCGGGCCAACGGUAUACGAUGCAUCUCAUAUGGGUCAUGCCAGGUCAUACAUAUCUUUUGAUAUAUUGAGGCGCGUAAUGGGUAAUUAUUUUGGAUAUGAUAUACUUUAUGUAAUGAAUAUCACAGAUAUUGAUGAUAAAAUUAUCAAGAGAGCAAGGCAGAAACAUUUAUAUGAGAAAUAUCUGAAAGAACCGAGGUCUCUAAGCAGUACAUUAGAUGAUGCAACCAGUGUUAUUAAUUACUAUGAAGCAGCAGUCAAAGACAUACAUGACCCAGAUAAAAAGAACUUAAUGCAGAAAACAUUUGAUGAGAUUGCUGCUGCAAUACAGGUGUUGAAGUCAGCAGUGGAGUCUAAAGAUGAGGAGAAAAUAAAAAAAGCAAGAUGUGAUUUAUUAAGUUCUGCUAAAAGCCCCAUUUCAGAUUGGCUUGAUUACAAAUAUGGUUCCACAGUCACUGACAAUGAAAUAUUCACUGAACUGCCUAGAUAUUGGGAGAAUGAAUUCCAUAAAGACAUGAAGGCACUUAAUGUGUUGCCACCAGAUGUAUUAACAAGAGUUAGUGAAUAUGUCCCGCAAAUAGUUAAAUACAUUCAGAAAAUUAUUGAUAAUGGCUUAGCAUAUGAAUCUAAUGGUUCAGUUUAUUUUAAUGUUAGUGAAUUUGAUAGCCGAGAUAAACAUCAUUAUGCCAGGCUUGUCCCUGAGGCUUAUGGAGACACAAAAUCACUACAAGAAGGAGAAGGAGAUUUGAGCGACGAAACUGCCGAGAAGCGCUCGCCGAACGACUUUGCUCUGUGGAAGCGCAGCAAAGCUGGCGAGCCGUCGUGGCCGUCGCCGUGGGGGCUCGGCCGGCCCGGCUGGCACAUCGAGUGCUCCGCCAUGGCGUCCGACGUGCUGGGCGACAAGCUCGACAUACACACCGGGGGAGUCGAUCUCAAAUUCCCUCAUCAUGACAACGAAAUAGCGCAAAGUGAGGCACAUUAUGACGAGCCUGGUUGGGUCAACUACUUCCUGCACACUGGCCAUCUGAUGAUCGCUGGUUGCAAGAUGUCCAAAUCGUUGAAAAACUUCAUCACGAUCGGCGAUGCGUUGAAACGUCACACGGCGAGACAGCUGCGCUUCGGUUUCCUCUUGCAUGGAUGGAAAGAGACCUUGGAUUACUCUGAAAAUACGAUGGACAUGGCCAUACAAACCGAAAAGUUCUUUAAUGAAUUCUUUUUGACGGUGAAAGACGCUCUGCGUAACGGGUACGAUGAGGGAUGCGGCGGCUCCUGGGGACCCGAGGAGCAACAGCUCUCUGCGAAACUUACUGCGGUCAAAGAGCAAGUACACGCUGCGCUCUGUGACAACAUCGACACGCGCAGCGCGAUGGAGUCGCUGCGGGAGCUGGCGGGCGCGGCGCACGUGUUCCUGCGGCAGGCGGGGCCGCGCGCCGCGCCGCUGCUGGGCGCCGCCGCGCGCUACGUCACCGACGUGCUGCACGUCUUCGGCGCCGUCGAGGGCCCGCGCGGCGGCAUCGGCUUCCCCGUCGCCGACGCGGACGGCGUCUGCCUGGAGGCGGCGGUGCUGCCGUACCUGCAGGCGCUGGGCGAGUUCCGCGCGGCGGUGCGCGCGGCGGCGCGGGGCGGCGCGGCGGCGGACGUGCUGGCGCUGUGCGACGCGCUGCGGGACCGCGUGCUGCCCGACCUCGGCGUCAGGCUCGAGGACAAGGCAGGUGGGACACGACCACUUCAACAUAUCGCACCGUCGUGAAGUUGGUCAGUAAAGAAGAAUUGGCGAAAGAAAGAGAAGAAAAGAAACGCUUAGAAGCGGAGAAACAAAAGAAGAAACAAGAGUUGUUAGAGGCCCAGCGAGCUAAAGAAGAACAAAAGAAAAUACCACCCAGCGAAAUGUUCAAGAAGGAAACUGAUAAAUACUCGCAAUUCGAUGACAAGGGUUUACCAACACACGAUCACGAAGGCAAAGAACUUAGCAAAGGUUUAAUAAAAAAACUGCAGAAAUUGCAACAAGCUCAAGAAAAAAAAUACAAUGAGUAUUUAUCAACCAUUAACACUUGCUGACAAAAUGGAACGAAAU